GGGUCAGCGAUGAAAUCUUUGUCUUUUAUCUAGAGAGGUGUUGUCUUAAAAGUCUCGCACAAUAGAGUUACACUGAGGACA
ensembl:snoRNA SNORD115 Small nucleolar RNA SNORD115